rnacentral:rRNA from 1 species
CCCCGAGGAAAAGAAAUCAACCGAGAUUCCCCCAGUAGCGGCGAGCGAACGGGGAGGAGCCCAGAGCCUGAAUCAGUGUGUGUGUUAGUGGAAGCGUCUGGAAAGGCGCGCGAUACAGGGUGACAGCCCCGUACACAAAAAUGCACAUGCUGUGAGCUCGAUGAGUAGGGCGGGACACGUGGUAUCCUGUCUGAAUAUGGGGGGACCAUCCUCCAAGGCUAAAUACUCCUGACUGACCGAUAGUGAACCAGUACCGUGAGGGAAAGGCGAAAAGAACCCCGGCGAGGGGAGUGAAAAAGAACCUGAAACCGUGUACGUACAAGCAGUGGGAGCACGCUUAGGCGUGUGACUGCGUACCUUUUGUAUAAUGGGUCAGCGACUUAUAUUCUGUAGCAAGGUUAACCGAAUAGGGGAGCCGAAGGGAAACCGAGUCUUAACUGGGCGUUAAGUUGCAGGGUAUAGACCCGAAACCCGGUGAUCUAGCCAUGGGCAGGUUGAAGGUUGGGUAACACUAACUGGAGGACCGAACCGACUAAUGUUGAAAAAUUAGCGGAUGACUUGUGGCUGGGGGUGAAAGGCCAAUCAAACCGGGAGAUAGCUGGUUCUCCCCGAAAGCU